UAUGUAGGGUGCGAGCGUUAAUCGGAAUUACUGGGCGUAAAGCGUGCGCAGGCGGUCUGUUAAGACAGAUGUGAAAUCCCCGGGCUUAACCUGGGAACUGCAUUUGUGACUGGCAGGCUAGAGUAUGGCAGAGGGGGGUAGAAUUCCACGUGUAGCAGUGAAAUGCGUAGAGAUGUGGAGGAAUACCGAUGGCGAAGGCAGCCCCCUGGGCCAAUACU
rnacentral:rRNA from 1 species